ACCCAAAGACUUUCAGCUGGCGGGGUAAAAGCACUCUGUAGACUGAAACCAACAGGAGAGAAAAAGGAGAUACAUGAGGUCCAUGGGACAGUGAGUGGGAAGAUAUCCUGCAAAUUUUGGACUCCAACCAAGAGGGCCUGGGGCACUUGCAUGGCGUACCAAGAGCUCCAGAGAGACACUUUGACAACCAGACUUUCACUGGGGUCUUGCCUCAGCUCUGCCGUGAGCUGGCUCUGUGACCUUCAGCAAACCACGGUCCCUCUCUGGGCCCCAGGUUUCUGAUGUAAAAGACCAAGAGGGUUAGAUCAGAUGAUCUUGGAAAGCUUGCCAAGCCCCAAGUUUCUAGGAUUUCCUGACUACCAAUGUGUCCACGGUCAGCUUCUAGUGCCAAGUCUUACCUAUUCUUUUCUCACCAAAGUGGCUGGAGGCAAAAAAAGAAAAAAUUCCAAUCAUUAGCAUUGACUAGAGGAAAACAAUUGGAAGUAAGAAUGCUUUUCUCUUAAAUAUUCUCCUGCUCAUAGGGAAAAAGCUGAAGGAAAGUCAUAGUGGAAUUCAAAUCACAUGGCAGCAUUUAUCACGAUGAGUUCCACAGGAGGAAGCCAAGGCUGGUGAUAACCCACCAUUUCAGAGCAUCUAUUGAUCUGCAAGCACAGUGAUAGUUGCUUUUCCAUAUUUUAUUUCAUUUAAAUUAUACAGCACU
rnacentral:lncRNA from 1 species